AUACUAAAAUUGGAAGGCAGCACGUAUACUAAAAUUGGAACGAUACAGAGACGAUAAGCAUGGCCCCUGCACAAGGAUGACAUGCAAAUUCGUGAAGUGUUCCAAAACAAA